rnacentral:rRNA from 1 species
GCUGGCGGCAGGCUUUAACACAUGCAAGUCGAACGCCCCGCAAGGGGAGUGGCAGACGGGUGAGUAACGCGUGGGAACAUACCCUUUCCUGCGGAAUAGCUCCGGGAAACUGGAAUUAAUACCGCAUACGCCCUACGGGGGAAAGAUUUAUCGGGGAAGGAUUGGCCCGCGUUGGAUUAGCUAGUUGGUGGGGUAAAGGCCUACCAAGGCGACGAUCCAUAGCUGGUCUGAGAGGAUGAUCAGCCACAUUGGGACUGAGACACGGCCCAAACUCCUACGGGAGGCAGCAGUGGGGAAUAUUGGACAAUGGAGCGCAAGCCUGAUCCAGCCAUGCCGCGUGAGUGAUGAAGAGCCUUAGGGUUGUAAAGCACAUUCACCGUA